rnacentral:lncRNA from 1 species
UGAACUUCUAUUGGCCUUGGAUCAUGAUGGUUUGGACUUCAAGUCUCAUCAAACUCAAUGGAUCUUGGGUGUUGAUGGGGUGAAAACCAUAAUCCACCAAAAUGGAUGAUUGAUUUUGAUGAUGACUUAAUCAAACUUUUGAUUAUCAAACUCAAUGGAUCUUGGGUGUUGAUGGGGUGAAAACCAUAAUCCACCAAAAUGGAUGAUUGAUUUUGAUGAUGACUUAAUCAAACUUUUGAUCCAAUUUGGGUGUGACCUCUCUUGAU